UACGAGGGGGGCAAGCGUUGUUCGGAAUUAUUGGGCGUAAAGGGUGCGUAGGCGGUUUGACAAGUCAUCUGUGAAAUCUAUGGGCUCAACCCAUAGUCUGCAGGCGAAACUGUCGGGCUUGAGUAUUGGAGAGGUGAGUGGAAUUUCCGGUGUAGCGGUGAAAUGCGUAGAUAUCGGAAGGAACACCUGUGGCGCAAGCGGCUCACUGGACAAUAACUGACGCUGAUGCACGAAAGCUAGGGGAGCAAACAGG
rnacentral:rRNA from 1 species